CCCCUGGCGGCUGAGGGGGCGCUGCGGCGCGUAGCCGGGAGCGCCGGGAGCGCGAGGGAAGGGGCUUGGCGAAGGGCCCCAAAGAUGCCCAGACCUUGGUGGCGCCGGCAGUCCCCCUUAACACGCCCGGAGGUUCCCAAAUGACCCAGAACCGCCAGAACGUCCAGAAAUGCUGGCGGGGUUCACCGUCCACGGGGUACAACUUUGGAAACGAUGACGAGAGAGGCGAAGGAAGUAAACUCAAGACCCAAGGAGGAUGAAAGCACGCUAUGCAUGACACCACCACUACAAAGCCCAGAGCCAGAACGGCGGGGAAGGACACUGCUGGAAGGAAAGACUCCACUCUAUGGAGGCUUCACCCACUCCCAGUACCCUGGAGUGGGACCAGGACGACUCUGGUGAAGCAGCCACAGGAUGUUCAGUUCUCAGAACAGAAGCCAGGUGGCAUCCGCUUAACCUGGGCUUUGCAGGGUCUGGUGAUGCUCAAGUCUCAGCCAGAGCAUGUCAGCUGAUUUCCGGUCCAAAGUAUCAGUAGAACUAUACCCACCACAGAGUGCUCAAGAAGCCUUUGCUUCCUUGGAAGCUGCCGUUUCCACGUUUUUAGAUUAGCUACAUAGGCAAUAUCUUUGCCUGGACAUCUAAACAUCGUGGUUCUCGCUGACAGGGCCUUGCUGGGAGGCUCCUUCCCUUACAGAGUACCGAGAUAAUUUUCCUGAAGCAAGGAUGACAUCACUGGCCUGAAGGCGGAUCCAGGCAAUUGCCAAUUGCCCUAUCUGGGGAACAAUCAUUCCUGCAGCUCUGUCACAGCCAGCCCCGUCCCUGGGCUAUGUGUAACCCAGCAACAAGGAUGGACACGGGGACCAGCUGGAUGAGGAAGGUCUGGAGCUAAACUCUCCAAAGAUGCUCAGCCUUUAAUGGAGGAGGCCUUUUAGAAGAGAUCUGGCAAAUUGUCUGCCCUGGCAACUUCACUUUCUGUUCUCUUUUUUAUCUGCUUUCUGUAUUUCCAAUUAAUCUUGGAAUGAGAGCCCAAGGCAAGAAGCCAGCGGUGCCUGAGGAAUGCUAAAGAGCAGACUGAGCCAGGGAAACAAAUGCCAGCGAGGGACCCCACAGCAAAGAGACAGACACCGUGAGCAACUCUCCCGUUACCAUGAGGCUUGCGAGGCGUGUGUGCGGGUCUCCGCGUUGGCACCAUCUGCCAGUUCCUCAGGAGGACAGAACAAACCAGUGAGGCAUGGAGAUUAGAUUAUGUAACGCUCGAGGAUUGCUGUUUUCAAAGAGGAAACAAAUGGAACGAAUUGAUUUGCUUGUCAGAGUCAUGUCACUAAAGGAGACCCGUUCCCUCCUCUUCCAAGAGGACCUCAUUAAAGAGGGUAAUGAUUUUACAGAUUGAGAAAAUGUGAGACCACAGUCGACUCCAUUCACAAGAGCAAGUCCUAUUUCCAGAAUUGCACUGAUAAAUCCUCUUCUGGUCCCCUAUCCUGAAAAAAUGACUAUUCAGCCACUACCUAAAAGAUACCAACACGGCAAAGAACCUAAAUGCCGGUUGCCAGCCACCAGAUUCGGAACCUGGGCGCUUUGCCUGAACUGAACUCUCUUGCUUCUGGGGAAGGAAGCAGCAUCUAAUUUUGAGUCCAGUGGGGUCACAGGUAUAUUCAGAGCUCUAAACAAGUGCUUCUUUGAUAGAGUGGGAAUGUGUUCUUAAAGUACAUGCAUCAGGAAGGAGAAUUCGUUGCAUUUCUGGGAUAAUUUUGUCAUUGCCGGGCUUCUCUCAAAAUGCCCAGCAUAAUACUUUUUAUAGAAUGUUCAGUAGAUCCGAAGAAUGAACGAAUGAUAACCUUGAACCUACUGCCAAAGGGCCAUUCCUAAAGAUACAUUGUCUAAGACACCAAGAUUUAAAUGUCGGGUAUUUAUUCAACUUGGAAAUGAAGCCCGCUGUACCAGAUGUUUUCUAUUUGCCCUUUCCGAUCCACCAUCUAGCCUGGGAUGCUCCCCUGUACAGACUCCAUCAACUUGACCCUCUAGCUUCCAUUUGGGUACAGCCAGCGGGAGGUGGCAGCAGCAGACUGGAGGGCAGAAGGGCAGUGAGGGUGAAGUAUUUAUUUCCCUGGUUCUCUCCCUGCCAGAUCGCCUCAGGUUGGUUAUGUCUUUUGAUAAAAGGUCACUGCUCCCUCUCAAGGCAGCCCUUUCCACACAGCUCUCUUCCUGGGUUCUGGAGUUUCUCCCUCCCUUCAACUUUUAGAUCUAGGAAUGGUAAAGACCCCAGCUAUCCCUAGCCCCCUGGGUACUGCACUACCCCUGUGGCUUCCCUACACUCUACCCAAACCUUUGUAAAUAGUCCGUUUAUUAAAACCUCCUCAAAUUAUCUAAUUUGAAUGUACCAUCUGCUUCUUAUACAGAACCUGACUGAUACACCUACCACACAUGUCAGUCUGUUCCAGGCCCUGCACCACAGUUUAAAAAAAAAAGUGUAGCAAAAUUAAUAAUACAAUAUGCUACUACUUUAUAGUUGUUCUCAGUGUUCACCUUUUCACAAGGCUAUAAUAACAACUUAAAGAUAACACCUAAUUCUUCCUUACAACAUAAUUGUGCAGUAGUGUUUAUAUGAGCUAAAUAUAAUUCGAGAACAAGCUUUUUCAUGCCAUCAAAAUUCAUGUGAACAACUAUAAAGAGAGAAUUGCAGAACUGAUGCCCCCGACUUGAGAUUUAGCAGAUUUAUUGCAAUAUUUAAAUCAACCAUGCAAAUAUUCAAAUGCCUACUACGUGGCCAGAAAGAUGGAAAUCUUACAGUGAGGAAUAACAUCGCCACGGGCUCUGACAUGGUGAAAUGCGGUCUUGUUUUAUGCUGUAAAUGUGUUCCUAAAAAGUUGAAUAGAGAUUGUGUUUCCAUAAAUCAGAUGAUAUGUUGUAUGAUCAGGGGGACCUCACUAAUUGAAUAAUAAUUUGGUAAAAUAAUCACCCUUUGAUCUUUUGAACCAAUUCUGUUUUUUCAUCCAUCUAAAGUACUUCAAAUGAAAUUUAUCUUUAGUCUGUAGGGAGGAUUGGUCUCCUUCCGUGCUCUUGGAAUAGCAGAAAUUGUGAAAUGGAAUUCAGAGGAAAGAUAAGGGAACUACCAUUUAUAGACCACACAUAGAAUGCUAGGCAAUUUGCAUCUGUUAGCACAUUUAAUCCUGGAGGUAAAUGCAUAUUCUACCAUUCCCUUAUUUUCUCCUUCUGAAAAAUAAAA